UACGAAAGGGGCUAGCGUUGUUCGGAAUUACUGGGCGUAAAGCGCACGUAGGCGGCUUUUCAAGUCGGGGGUGAAAUCCCGGGGCUCAACCCCGGAAUUGCCUCCGAAACUGGAUGGCUAGAGGCCGUGAGAGGUGAGUGGAAUUCCGAGUGUAGAGGUGAAAUUCGUAGAUAUUCGGAAGAACACCAGUGGCGAAGGCGACUCACGGGCACGGUUCUGACGAUGAGGUGCGAAAGCGUGGGGAGCAAACAGG
rnacentral:rRNA from 1 species